rnacentral:rRNA from 1 species
AAUUUCCUACGGGGCGCAGCAGUGGGGAAUAUUGCACAAUGGGGGAAACCCUGAUGCAGCAACGCCGCGUGAGUGAAGAAGUAUUUCGGUAUGUAAAGCUCUAUCAGCAGGGAAGAAAAUGACGGUACCUGACUAAGAAGCCCCGGCUAACUACGUGCCAGCAGCCGCGGUAAUACGUAGGGGGCAAGCGUUAUCCGGAUUUACUGGGUGUAAAGGGAGCGUAGACGGCAGGGCAAGUCUGGAGUGAAAGGCAGGGGCCCAACCCCUGGACUGCUCUGGAAACUGUCCGGCUGGAGUGCAGGAGG